GGGGCCGACCGGUUUUGACGGUAUGAUGGGUCAUGUACUUGCGUGCCGGGUGAAGAGUGUACAUCCGUAAGCAAUUCACUCAAACUAUAAUUGGCGAGAAUAACUACGCCAUGGCUGCCUAAUUUCUGACUUCUUUGAAGCGGAAUGGACUUUGCGGUUGAGUCGACGGUAAACAUCGACUCCCGAGCCACAUCCCACAGUGCCUUGUUUUGUCGGUGCUGAACCGGGGUGACGAUCAGGCAAGACUAGCGUCACGAUGCUGCUAAGUGAUUGCGAAACUUUAGCAGAUAAGCUGUAGAUAGGAACGUUACCUUUCCAGUAUGCAGUCGAAAACCUGACAGGUAACUACGCAUGUAGACGGUGCAAUGAGUCGCUUAUCCGGACGAGGGUUCGAAUCCCUCCGGCUCCACAG
rnacentral:tmRNA from 1 species